rnacentral:rRNA from 1 species
GAUGAACGCUGGCGGCGUGCCUAACACAUGCAAGUCGAGCGCGUCUGAUUUGAUGCUUGCAUUAAUGAAAGAUGAGCGGCGGACGGGUGAGUAACGCGUGGGUAACCUGCCCUAUACACAUGGAUAACAUACUGAAAAGUUUACUAAUACAUGAUAAUAUAUAUUUACGGCAUCGUAGAUAUAUCAAAGUGUUAGCGGUAUAGGAUGGACCCGCGUCUGAUUAGCUAGUUGGUGAGAUAACUGCCCACCAAGGCGACGAUCAGUAGCCGACCUGAGAGGGUGAUCGGCCACAUUGGAACUGAGACACGGUCCAAACUCCUACGGGAGGCAGCAGUGGGGAAUAUUGCACAAUGGGCGCAAGCCUGAUGCAGCAACGCCGCGUGAACGAUGAAGGUCUUCGGAUCGUAAAGUUCUGUUGCAGGGGAAGAUAAUGACGGUACCCUGUGAGGAAGCCCCGGCUAACUACGUGCCAGCAGCCGCGGUAAUACGUAGGGGGCUAGCGUUAUCCGGAUUUACUGGGCGUAAAGGGUGCGUAGGUGGUCUUUCAAGUCGGUGGUUAAAGGCUACGGCUCAACCGUAGUUAGCCUCCGAAACUGGAAGACUUGAGUGCAGGAGAGGAAAGUGGAAUUCCCAGUGUAGCGGUGAAAUGCGUAGAUAUUGGGAGGAACACCAGUAGCGAAGGCGGCUUUCUGGACUGCAACCGACACUGAGGCACGAAAGCGUGGGUAGCAAACAGGAUUAGAUACCCUGGUAGUCCACGCUGUAAACGAUGAGUACUAGGUGUCGGGGGUUACCCCCCUCGGUGCCGCAGCUAACGCAUUAAGUACUCCGCCUGGGGAGUACGCACGCAAGUGUG